GAUGGGUCUCAGGUGGGGCACCCUGGAAUCAGUCUCCCUCCUCUCUGGUUCCGGGUGUGUCACCCGAGAACCGCA
rfam:Myotis davidii contig150961, whole genome shotgun sequence.